GACGAACGCUGGCGGCGUGCUUAAUACAUGCAAGUCGAACGGAAAGGCCCUGCUUUUGUGGGGUGCUCGAGUGGCGAACGGGUGAGUAACACGUGAGUAACCUGCCCUUGACUUUGGGAUAACUUCAGGAAACUGGGGCUAAUACCGGAUAGGAGCUCCUGCUGCAUGGUGGGGGUUGGAAAGUUUCGGCGGUUGGGGAUGGACUCGCGGCUUAUCAGCUUGUUGGUGGGGUAGUGGCUUACCAAGGCUUUGACGGGUAGCCGGCCUGAGAGGGUGACCGGCCACAUUGGGACUGAGAUACGGCCCAGACUCCUACGGGAGGCAGCAGUGGGGAAUAUUGCAAAAUGGGCGGAAGCCUGAUGCAGCAACGCCGCGUGCGGGAUGACGGCCUUCGGGUUGUAAACCGCUUUCGCCUGUGACGAAGCGUGAGUGACGGUAAUGGGUAAAGAAGCACCGGCUAACUACGUG
rnacentral:rRNA from 1 species